ACGGGAGGCAGCAGUGAGGAAUAUUGGUCAAUGGGCGGAAGCCUGAACCAGCCAAGUCGCGUGAGGGAGGAAGGUCCUACGGAUUGUAAACCUCUUUAGCCGGGGAGCAAUAAUCGCCAUGCAUGGCGAGAUGAGAGUACACAGAGAAUAAGGAUCGGCUAACUCCGUGCCAGCAGCCGCGGUAAUACGGAGGAUCCGAGCGUUAUCCGGAUUUAUUGGGUUUAAAGGGUGCGCAGGCGGCUUUCUAAGUCAGUGGUUAAAUAGCGGUGCUCAACGCCGUCACGCCAUUGAUACUGGAGAGCUUGAUUGCGGUCGAGGUUUGCGGAAUUCGUCGUGUAGCGGUGAAAUGCAUAGAUAUGACGAAGAACACCGAUUGCGUAGGCAGCAGACCAGGCCGUAAAUGACGCUCAUGCACGAAAGUGCGGGGAUCGAACAGGAUUAGAUACCCUGGUA
rnacentral:rRNA from 1 species